rnacentral:rRNA from 1 species
AGGACGAACGCUGGCGGCGUGCUUAACACAUGCAAGUCGAGCGGUAAGGCCUUUCGGGGUACACGAGCGGCGAACGGGUGAGUAACACGUGGGUGAUCUGCCCUGCACUUCGGGAUAAGCCUGGGAAACUGGGUCUAAUACCGGAUAUGACCUCAGGUUGCAUGACUUGGGGUGGAAAGAUUUAUCGGUGCAGGAUGGGCCCGCGGCCUAUCAGCUUGUUGGUGGGGUAAUGGCCUACCGAGGCGACGACGGGUAGCCGACCUGAGAGGGUGACCGGCCACACUGGGACUGAGACACGGCCCAGACUCCUACGGGAGGCAGCAGUGGGGAAUAUUGCACAAUGGGCGAAAGCCUGAUGCAGCGACGCCGACGGUGAGGAUGACGGCCUUCGGGUUGUAAACCUCGUUUUCAGCUAGGGACGAACGCGGACAAGGUGACGGUACCUGCCAAGAAGUAAGCAACCGGCUAAACGUACGUGACCCAGGUACG